AUUGACCGCUGGCGGCAUGCCUCACACAUGCAAGUCGAGCGGAGCGGCGGACGGGUGCGUAAUGCCUAGGAAUCUGCCUGGUAGUGGGGGAUAACGUCCGGAAACGGGCGCUAAUACCGCAUACUAUCAGAUGAGCCUAGGUCGGAUUAGCUAGUUGGUGGGGUAAAGUCCUACCAAGUCGACGAUCCGUAACUGGUCUGAGAGGAUGAUCAGUCACACGGGAACUGAGACACGGUCCAGGCUCCUGCGGGAGGCAGCAGUGGGGAAUAUUGGACAGUAGGCAAGAGCCUGAUCCAGCCAUGCCGCGUGUGUGAAGAAGGUCUGCGGAUUGUAGAGCACUUUAAGUUGGUGAGCGUAACCAACAGAAUAAGCACCGGCUAACUUCGUGCCAGCAGCCGCGGUAUUC
rnacentral:rRNA from 1 species